rnacentral:rRNA from 1 species
GACGAACGCUGACGGCGUGCUUAACACAUGCAAGUCGAGCGGUAAGGCCCCUUCGGGGGUACACGAGCGGCGAACGGGUGAGUAACACGUGGGUGACCUGCCCUCAGCUCUGGGAUAAGCCUGGGAAACUGGGUCUAAUACCGGAUAUGACUCCAUGACGCAUGUCGUGGGGUGGAAAGCCUUGUGCGGCUGGGGAUGGGCCCGCGGCCUAUCAGCUUGUUGGUGGGGUGAUGGCCUACCAAGGCGACGACGGGUAGCCGGCCUGAGAGGGCGACCGGCCACACUGGGACUGAGACACGGCCCAGACUCCUACGGGAGGCAGCAGUGGGGAAUCUUGCGCAAUGGGCGAAAGCCUGACGCAGCGACGCCGCGUGAGGGAUGACGGCCU